rnacentral:rRNA from 1 species
UGGGGAAUAUUGCACAAUGGGCGCAAGCCUGAUGCAGCCAUGCCGCGUGUGUGAAGAAGGCCUUCGUGUUGUAAAGCACUUUCAGCGGGGAGGAAGGCGUUAAGGUUAAUAACCUUGGCGAUUGACGUUACGCGCAGAAGAAGCACCGGCUAACUCCGUGCCAGCAGCCGCGGUAAUACGGAGGGUGCAAGCGUUAAUCGGAAUUACUGGGCGUAAAGCGCACGCAGGCGGUCUGUCAAGUCGGAUGUGAGAUCCCCGGGCUCAACCUGGGAAAUGCAUUCGAAACUGGCAGGCUAGAGUCUUGUAGAGGGGGGUAGGAUUCCAGGUGUAGCGGUGAAAUGCGUAGAGAUCUGGAGGAAUACCGGUGGCGAAAGCGGCCCCCUGGACAAAGACUGACGCUCAGGUGCGAAAGCGUGGGGAGCAAACAGG